rnacentral:rRNA from 1 species
CAGCUAGUUGGUGGGGUAAGAGCCUACCAAGGCGACGAUCGGUAGCUGGUCUGAGAGGACGAUCAGCCACACUGGGAUUGAGAACGGCCCAGACUCCUACGGGGGGCAGCAGUGAGGAAUUUUCCGCAAUGGGCGCAAGCCUGACGGAGCAACGCCGCGUGCAGGAGGACGCUUUUCGGAGUGUAAACUGCUUUUCUGUGGGAAGAGUGAGGACGGUACCACAGGAAGAAGCCCCGGCUAACUACGUGCCAGCAGCCGCGGUAAUACGUAGGGGGCGAGCGUUGUCCGGAGUUACUGGGCGUAAAGGGCAUGCAGGCGGUCGUACGCGUUUUGUGUGACAGCGGGUGGCUUAACUACCCGAGUAUGCGAAAGACGGUAUGACUUGAGGGCUCGAGAGGGACACGGAAUUCCGGGUGGAGUGGUGAAAUGCGUAGAGAUCCGGAGGAACACCGAAGGCGAAGGCAGUGUCCUGGCGAGUGACUGACGCUGAGGUGCGAAAGCUAGGGGAGCGAACGGGAUUAGAUACCCCGGUAGUCC